AUGAACGCUGGCGGCAUGCCUUACACAUGCAAGUCGAACGGUAACAGGUCUUCGGAUGCUGACGAGUGGCGAACGGGUGAGUAAUAUAUCGGAACGUGCCCAGUCGGUGGGGGAUAACGCAGCGAAAGCUGUGCUAAUACCGCAUACGAUCUAUGGAUGAAAGCGGGGGAUCGCAAGACCUCGCGCGAUUGGAGCGGCCGAUAUCAGAUUAGGUAGUUGGUGGGGUAAAGGCCCACCAAGCCAACGAUCUGUAGCUGGUCUGAGAGGACGACCAGCCACACUGGAACUGAGACACGGUCCAGACUCCUACGGGAGGCAGCAGUGGGGAAUUUUGGACAAUGGGCGCAAGCCUGAUCCAGCAAUGCCGCGUGCAGGAUGAAGGCCUUCGGGUUGUAAACUGCUUUUGUACGGAACGAAAAGGCUCUGGUUAAUACCUGGGGCUCAUGACGGUACCGUAAGAAUAAGCACCGGCUAACUACGUG
rnacentral:rRNA from 1 species